rnacentral:lncRNA from 1 species
UGGACUAUGUAUAUGAUUCUGGAUCUUGUUUUAUUAUCACUGUAAAAUCAACACUGUUCCCUAGUCUUGUAAGCUCUUCAAAGACACAUGGGGUGCUUUGGGAGAGCAUUUCCUCAACAUGCCAGAGAUGUCACCUAGGAACACAUUUGACUUUAGGUCACUACGACCACCUUUUUUGCUUCUAUUACACUAUAAUUCUUGAGCUGAUCAUAUAGAAAUUUAAGGAAAAACUAGUGUGUGAACUUUGAAUUGUGUGUUCUUAACCUAUAUUUUCUCUAGUAGAUUGUGUACAUAUGCUUUCCAACUUGUGUGCACAUUUCCUCUAUUAUACAGACUUGAAAAUAUCACUAAUUAUGGAAUGCAUUCCAGUUAGUAUAUUAAGGAUGAAAAACGUCAAUUGUAGGUCUUAAGAACUUCAGCCAUAUCUACUUAAUAGAAAGAACAUAUUUUGAUAAGAAAUAACCUAAUAUAAACAUCUGUGAGUAUUUCUUUGUUAGCACUCUCCAGGACUUAACACCCUCACUAGUAACAUUUCUGGCUAAAUCCAGGGUUCUUCUAUCACUUCCAUUAUAGAACCAAAGAGUGUGGUCUUGUAAGAGACACGUGAAUCCAGCCCAAUAUUUCACCUUUGCUGAAGUCCCUUUUACAAAAUUAUUCCCUUAGUUUAAAUAUGGUUAUUAUGGGGAACUUGCUGCCUUGCCAGUUAGCUUCUUCCACAGUUAGGUAGUUCUGAUUUCUGGGUUGCUGGGACUCCUUCCUCCACCAAACUUUGCCAGAAUCUACUGUCACCCACUGUUCUUACACUUUUUUUUUUUAGAAUUAUAUAAAAGUCGUUGCACAUUUUUAGUCUGUUCACCUAUGUGCUUAUCAUUUGUUUAUCUGUAAAAAUAUUUCUUCAAACACCUGAGGAGAACUAUUAUAUCUUCCCCUUCCCCUUCUCUCUUCAUGUUGCUAACCCCACCCACAUCUUUAGUCAUUCCUGGUGUGAUAAUAUUCUUACUACUGGCCAUUCCUUUUUCAUUUUCUGUAUGUUUAGGAUUUUUUAUAAUAUCAUCUAAAUACUAUCUCAAGUAACUAUUCCUGUGAAAAGAGAGAGUCAGCUGGAGCUUUCCUUGCCAUGAUGUAGACUUUCACUUGCAUUAUGAAUAUGGCAGAAAACCCAGUGACCAGAGUCCAAUUGCUUGGACUCCUACUAUGGCUCUACCCCUGUCUGGUAGUGCAGCUUUGGGCAAGUUACAUAUUCUCUGCACAUCAGUUUUCUCAUUGGUUGAGUGCUGGUAUCAGUGGUAGCCACAUGUAGGGCUGGGGAGAGGAUCAUCUCCUUGACCAACAGUGAAUCCUUAAUUGUGACUAUUUCCGCUAUUAUUACUGCUAUGAUUGCACUAUUGUAACAACCAAAUCAUGACUCUUUGUUGUUACUUCUGAGUUUUUAAACCUGCAGCUUUCUCAGCCUAGAGAAUUCUUUCCCAGGAUAGUAAUAGGGCUGGCUCCAUCUCAUCUUCUAGCAGCUAAAUAUCAUUCCUCAGAGAAAGCCCCUCUGACUGCUGUUUCAAUAGUCUAGUUCUGCCCUGGUCACUUCACCCUGUACUCUCCUUCAUCUUCUUCACUGAUUCUGUCACUAUGUGACAUUGGCUUCUCCAUUAAUCUUGAUUAUUAGGUCUCUUUCUCUCCCCAGUAAUGCAAGAGACAUGAGGCAAGGAAUCUUCUUUGUCUCAUUUACUGAUGUUAAUACCACCUAGAAUUGUGCCUACCACAUAGUAAACACAUAAAAGACUUUGCUGAAUGAAAGAUUUGGGUCCAUGAAAACUUCCAGAUACUUUUCAAAUGAUUUAAAAAAAAAAAA